UGCUGUGUAUUUAUUUUUUGGAGUGGCACAGAGUAGAGCAAAAACUAAAAAAUUCAAAACGAGCAGCCCAUGAGAGACACUGCAAACGCUUCAGCUCACUGCUGACUGGCCACCAAGUUUAGCCAGGAGACAUCAAUCAAGGUGGCAUCUUCCAAGUUCAAAAUAAAGGUCAGACCCACCACAAGGAGCCAGAGUUUCCCCAUGAAACAGGAUUACAGAAAAAUGUAAAGAACCUUCUGAAAUAAAUUUUCAAAGGAAGCAAACCUUUCCAGAUCACUUUGUGCUUCUUGCCCACCCAAACUCCUGUAUUCACCUUCCCUACCUGAACUUUAAUGCUUUGGGGCUGAUUUUAGUGAAACAUGGCAAAGGUUUUAAAGAUCUCAAAUGUGAAUUUGCUAAGUACCAGUUUCAGGAAUGAAGGUGUCCAAAAUAAAAGACUUUGCCUGAACUGAAGGAAACACUGCAGAAGGAAUUCAAGCAGUAUUAGAGGAAGGAAAAUUCACAUAAAGGAAGUUCUUAUAGAUGCCUUAGUGUGAUGAAACCUUCAGAGUUUGCAAUCGACUAGAAACCACAAAUUGCAGGAGGCUGGACUUCAGUCAGGGAACUACUUCUGCAAAGACUUUGCACACUGCAGGGACUGUGUCCAGCUGCAUUACUUGGAAAACUGAACCCUCUGAGCUGUUCCUGUUUCUAUCAUUACAAAGGGAAUAAAUGCAUAAGCCAAGAAAACAACUCAGCAGGUCGCAGGAGAGCAGAUCCUGGAGGAGUUACCACCUGUCAGCAGAUAUCUUGGCUCACAGUUAGAAGUUAUAGUGUAUGUGCAAGAUCAGCAUUUGCUGGGCAGUUCCUGAAUGGCUGAAGGCACUGAGCCCUCACUGCAGCACACGCAAAAUGUAAAGAGACAGCUGGGUACCAGGCAGCCCAUUAGGCCUUGUUGCUGUGUUCUCUCCAUGCACUGCAGUCAUCCUAGUACAAACCUUUGAUAAUGUUAGAGGGGCCAGCAUCCAGUGCACAAUUUUAUCCUGGAAGGAACAGAAAGGAAUUGUUCUUUGUAUGUAACUCUAAAUAUCUUGGUUAAUGUUUCACAAAAAGGAGUAAGACUAUUAAAUAAGACUAAAUUGAGCUAGGAAGGACUUUUUGUGUGUGUGUGUUCUUUUAUUGAAGGAGAACAAUUAAAAAGCAUCCUUUCUGCAAACUGGUAAAAUUAUAUUGUAAUUUGUGUUCAUUAUUCGUCUCACGCCAACUGGCAUUAUAACCAACUUCGUAAAGUAGUCCUUUUGGAAUUGUGUCACUCUUUUAAUUACCAAACUCAUCAUGCAUUUUGGUCAUUUGUGAUUGCAUUAUAUAUCAGGAAAAACAGGCUUCAUCUGAAG
rnacentral:lncRNA from 1 species